rnacentral:lncRNA from 1 species
AGAGAACAGGGAGCAGCCAUCAGAGGAGGCCUGGCCUGGGGAGCUUGGAGGGGCAAUCUGCCCAAGGGUCGGGGUGGAGCUUGUGCGGCAGAAGAGGCUGCCUCCUCCUUUGUGGAGUCCUGCCUAAGAUCGCAGUGAACUUAAGGAACCUCAUCAACUGAUUGUCACUAAAGCAUUACUGACUGAUACUUGGGUCAUGUGGAAGAAGCUAGAACAUCACGGGGCCUGUCCAGGGGAGUCUGAGGCCACAGAGGAGAUGCAGCCACAGCUGGAAAUACUGCCUAAGUGUGCCUAUCUGUUCAGUGGAGGAGUUGACCAGCCUGGUCCAAGACGGCCAUGGAAGAAGACCCAAGUGUGUAAACUGAUUGCUCAUCCAAGCUCCUCCUAGGAAUCUGCUGCCCUCACCAUCCCUGACCACUGAUGUCUUCUCCUUCUGCUGUCCCAGACUGGUGCUGUAGUACUAUGCACACUUCUUUUUUUUUUUUUUUUUUUUUGAGAGUCUCACUCUCUUGCUUAGGCUGGAGUACAAUGGUGCAAUCCCAGCUCACUGCAACCUUCACCUCCCAGGUUCAAGCGAUUCUCCCGCCUCAGUCUCCCACAACUGGCUGACUUUUGUAUUUUUAGUAGAGAUGGGGUUUCGCCAUGUUGACCAGACUGGUGGCAAGCUCCUGACCUCAAGUGAUCUGCUCACUUGGGCCUCCCAAAGUGCUGGGAUUACGGGCAUGAGCCACUGUGCCCUGCCAUGUGCCCACUUAUCUCCACAGCUGUGAGCCCAUCAGCCAUGGGCCCAGACCUGUCACCCUGUGAGGCCAGGAGCUACUCCAGCUGUCCAGGCUCCACCUUCUGCCUGGGGAUAAAGAACCCUUUCCCCUCAGAGGACUAGGAGACACCUCCUGGCCUUGGGCAGGGGUCCCCUUGAGCCCUGCCCUAUCUGUCCAGAACUCCUCCUUUCUUCCUCUCCAGGAAAGAAGAAUGGAC